rnacentral:RNase_P_RNA from 1 species
AAAGCAGGCCAGACAAUCGCUGCUUGGUUCGCAAGGGCCAAGGGGAGGAAAGUCCGGACUCCACAGGGCAGGGUGUUGGCUAACAGCCAUCCACGGCAACGUGCGGAAUAGGGCCACAGAGACGAGUCUUCCCAUCGGGUUCGCCCGGCGGGAAGGGUGAAACGCGGUAACCUCCACCUGGAGCAAUCCCAAAUAGGCAGGCAUCGAGGCGGCCCGCUGAGCCUGCGGGUAGGGAGCUGGAGCCGGCCGGUAACGGCCGGCCUAGAGGAAUGGUUGUCACGCCCGGUCCGCCGCAAGGCGGGCCAGGCGCACAGAAUCCGGCUUAUCGGCCUGCUUUGCUU